GUACGUCUUCAGGGCGGGGUGAAAUUCCCCACCGGCGGUAUGCAGGCGGGGCGCAUCAUCGCGUGCGAGUCUGCGAGCCCGCGAGCGCCUGCGUUGCAGUUCGGGAUGCAGGGUCAGCAGAUCUGGUGAGAGGCCAGAGCCGACGGUUAGAGUCCGGAUGGAAGAAGAUGUGC
rnacentral:ncRNA from 2 species